GGGUUGUGAGGUUAAGCGACUAAGCGUACACGGUGGAUGCCCUGGCAGUCAGAGGCGAUGAAGGACGUGCUAAUCUGCGAUAAGCGUCGGUAAGGUGAUAUGAACCGUUAUAACCGGCGAUUUCCGAAUGGGGAAACCCAGUGUGUUUCGACACACUAUCAUUAACUGAAUCCAUAGGUUAAUGAGGCGAACCGGGGGAACUGAAACAUCUAAGUACCCCGAGGAAAAGAAAUCAACCGAGAUUCCCCCAGUAGCGGCGAGCGAACGGGGAGCAGCCCAGAGCCUGAAUCAGUGUGUGUGUUAGUGGAAGCGUCUGGAAAGGCGCGCGAUACAGGGUGACAGCCCCGUACACAAAAAUGCACAUGCUGUGAGCUCGAUGAGUAGGGCGGGACACGUGGUAUCCUGUCUGAAUAUGGGGGGACCAUCCUCCAAGGCUAAAUACUCCUGACUGACCGAUAGUGAACCAGUACCGUGAGGGAAAGGCGAAAAGAACCCCGGCGAGGGGAGUGAAAAAGAACCUGAAACCGUGUACGUACAAGCAGUGGGAGCCUCUUUUAUGGGGUGACUGCGUACCUUUUGUAUAAUGGGUCAGCGACUUAUAUUCUGUAGCAAGGUUAACCGAAUAGGGGAGCCGAAGGGAAACCGAGUCUUAACUGGGCGUUAAGUUGCAGGGUAUAGACCCGAAACCCGGUGAUCUAGCCAUGGGCAGGUUGAAGGUUGGGUAACACUAACUGGAGGACCGAACCGACUAAUGUUGAAAAAUUAGCGGAUGACUUGUGGCUGGGGGUGAAAGGCCAAUCAAACCGGGAGAUAGCUGGUUCUCCCCGAAAGCUAUUUAGGUAGCGCCUCGUGAAUUCAUCUCCGGGGGUAGAGCACUGUUUCGGCAAGGGGGUCAUCCCGACUUACCAACCCGAUGCAAACUGCGAAUACCGGAGAAUGUUAUCACGGGAGACACACGGCGGGUGCUAACGUCCGUCGUGAAGAGGGAAACAACCCAGACCGCCAGCUAAGGUCCCAAAGUCAUGGUUAAGUGGGAAACGAUGUGGGAAGGCCCAGACAGCCAGGAUGUUGGCUUAGAAGCAGCCAUCAUUUAAAGAAAGCGUAAUAGCUCACUGGUCGAGUCGGCCUGCGCGGAAGAUGUAACGGGGCUAAACCAUGCACCGAAGCUGCGGCAGCGACGCUGAUGCGUUGUUGGGUAGGGGAGCGUUCUGUAAGCCUGUGAAGGUGUACUGUGAGGUAUGCUGGAGGUAUCAGAAGUGCGAAUGCUGACAUAAGUAACGAUAAAGCGGGUGAAAAGCCCGCUCGCCGGAAGACCAAGGGUUCCUGUCCAACGUUAAUCGGGGCAGGGUGAGUCGACCCCUAAGGCGAGGCCGAAAGGCGUAGUCGAUGGGAAACAGGUUAAUAUUCCUGUACUUGGUGUUACUGCGAAGGGGGGACGGAGAAGGCUAUGUUGGCCGGGCGACGGUUGUCCCGGUUUAAGCGUGUAGGCUGGUUUUCCAGGCAAAUCCGGAAAAUCAAGGCUGAGGCGUGAUGACGAGGCACUACGGUGCUGAAGCAACAAAUGCCCUGCUUCCAGGAAAAGCCUCUAAGCAUCAGGUAACAUUGAAUCGUACCCCAAACCGACACAGGUGGUCAGGUAGAGAAUACCAAGGCGCUUGAGAGAACUCGGGUGAAGGAACUAGGCAAAAUGGUGCCGUAACUUCGGGAGAAGGCACGCUGAUAUGUAGGUGAAGUCCCUCGCGGAUGGAGCUGAAAUCAGUCGAAGAUACCAGCUGGCUGCAACUGUUUAUUAAAAACACAGCACUGUGCAAACACGAAAGUGGACGUAUACGGUGUGACGCCUGCCCGGUGCCGGAAGGUUAAUUGAUGGGGUCAGCGCAAGCGAAGCUCUUGAUCGAAGCCCCGGUAAACGGCGGCCGUAACUAUAACGGUCCUAAGGUAGCGAAAUUCCUUGUCGGGUAAGUUCCGACCUGCACGAAUGGCGUAAUGAUGGCCAGGCUGUCUCCACCCGAGACUCAGUGAAAUUGAACUCGCUGUGAAGAUGCAGUGUACCCGCGGCAAGACGGAAAGACCCCGUGAACCUUUACUAUAGCUUGACACUGAACAUUGAGCCUUGAUGUGUAGGAUAGGUGGGAGGCUUAGAAGUGUGGACGCCAGUCUGCAUGGAGCCGACCUUGAAAUACCACCCUUUAAUGUUUGAUGUUCUAACGUUGACCCGUGAUCCGGGUUGCGGACAGUGUCUGGUGGGUAGUUUGACUGGGGCGGUCUCCUCCUAAAGAGUAACGGAGGAGCACGAAGGUUGGCUAAUCCUGGUCGGACAUCAGGAGGUUAGUGCAAUGGCAUAAGCCAGCUUGACUGCGAGCGUGACGGCGCGAGCAGGUGCGAAAGCAGGUCAUAGUGAUCCGGUGGUUCUGAAUGGAAGGGCCAUCGCUCAACGGAUAAAAGGUACUCCGGGGAUAACAGGCUGAUACCGCCCAAGAGUUCAUAUCGACGGCGGUGUUUGGCACCUCGAUGUCGGCUCAUCACAUCCUGGGGCUGAAGUAGGUCCCAAGGGUAUGGCUGUUCGCCAUUUAAAGUGGUACGCGAGCUGGGUUUAGAACGUCGUGAGACAGUUCGGUCCCUAUCUGCCGUGGGCGCUGGAGAACUGAGGGGGGCUGCUCCUAGUACGAGAGGACCGGAGUGGACGCAUCACUGGUGUUCGGGUUGUCAUGCCAAUGGCACUGCCCGGUAGCUAAAUGCGGAAGAGAUAAGUGCUGAAAGCAUCUAAGCACGAAACUUGCCCCGAGAUGAGUUCUCCCUGACCCUUUAAGGGUCCUGAAGGAACGUUGAAGACGACGACGUUGAUAGGCCGGGUGUGUAAGCGCAGCGAUGCGUUGAGCUAACCGGUACUAAUGAACCGUGAGGCUUAACCUUACAACGCCGAAGGUGUUU
rnacentral:rRNA from 1 species